AAAUCAAUAGAGCAGAAUAUUUUUGACUUUCCUAAACUAAUACAUGUAUACAGUAUAAAUUUAACAUUACAGAAGAAUGAAUGAUAAGAAAUUCUAUUCCUCUAAAUUAUCUUUCUUUCUAUCUUCUAUCAUUAUUUCUAUAUCAUCAGAGGGUUUCACAUCUGUUCGAGGAAUUAGUGAAAAGUGAUUAAGCUGACUAAGAUAAAUUCAGUCGUUUGAUGCUGUUAGAGGAUAAUUUCAAUAAUGGAGAUUCUUUAUCGAGGUUUGGUGCAAUUUUUAACUUGGCUUGGCUCGGCUCUCCUGGAUGAUUUCAGAGGCGGGUUUGAGAAGGGGCCAUGGUGGCAACGCCUUUUCAAUGGAUACACCAUCACAACCUGGAUGGUAGUGUUAAAAUCUUGGGUGUUCUGGACUUCUGGUCUCAUGGUUAAUGAAAUUUGCUGACAAUAUUGUCAAGGUGUAUUCAACAUGAAUGGCAGUGCUGUUGACCAUGGUUCUUUCUGUGUUCCUGUUUAAUUUCAGGCCAACAUUGCAGGUAAGUGCCCCCCCUCCCCUCCUCUCUCUCUCUCUCUCUCUCCUCGUGCACCCCUCACUGUCCCUUGUCUUACUACUAAAGUGGCUUGCCUCACUCAGCUAGGCACCCAAGUCCUCUCAUAGUGCCUAGACAAGUGCCUGGACCUGGACAUUAGGAAGGUCAGGUGCUUGCCUUAUUCAAUUGUUGGCUUACAACGUCUUUGUCCCUGGGGAGAAUGCAUCAAAAUAUUAAAUAAAAUAGAAACAAGCAGAUAUUCCACUUGCCUUUACUUAUGGCAAAAAUUACUGUCUUUUCCUUGAACAAUAAAAAGAUGGGAAAAAAGGAAAAUGCUAGAGAGGAGAAGAUUUUGGUUAAGAGGUUCCAACAAAGGCCAAUUAUUUUACUUUCCUUUUUGAAAGUUUCUGCUGCCGCGUGUUAUUUUUCCUCCAACUGGGAAGAGAUGUCUGUUUCUUUAUUUUUGUGCGGUUCGAAUUUAGUGUUCCCUUAGCUUUUGGUUUGAAAAGGAUUCUUCUCUUUUAAUGUGCCUAUCGGGCUCAUUAUUCGAUUGGAAAAAGAAGGUUUACUUUAAGUACUGUUGGGUAAUUAUGUUCAUAUUCAUAUUCUCUUUCUAACAUCAUCUGACGCUCUUUUGGGCCUUCUCUGUUCCCCAGUUUGUUUAGCAAUUGUGAGAUUCUGAUCAUAGGAUACUUCACAUUUUUUUUUCUUAUGCUGGUGCAGCUGUUCUUGGGGAUUAUUGUUUGCACCCCCAGGUAUGCUUGUGGAUCUGCCUUCCGUGAGAGAAGCAGAUCCAGAGAGUCUUGUAGAUAUUUCGGUUGAAAGAAGAACGAACUCAUGAUGCGCUAUUUCUGUUGAAAGCUAAAAAUUCUUUGGUUAGUUUUUCAGUGAACUAAAUAUUGUUAAACGGAGCAUAUAAUUCCUGGUGAAGUGCUUAGAAAAAAGCCAUUUAUUUCUCUAAUUGCCGAUAUAUUAAUAUCCUGGCUCAUCUGGCAAUUGGCAUUCUUGUAUGGCCAAAAGACGAGAGAAAAAUAUAAAUGUAUAAUAGUACUGAAAACAACAAUAUCUGGCUAUUUGAUUUCCAGUGGGGUCUUUGGCCAUCUAUUGCCGGGAGUUGCGACCACCUACCGACAGCUAUAGUAGAAGAAGUUGCAGCCAUUAUAUGUGGUCUAUAUUGCUCUGUAGUUGUUCCAUGUUCUUCAUAAGUCAUAACCAUUUGUGUUAAUAAUGCAAUGACCAUUAUAUUCAACAGUUUACUCUGCACAGUAAAUGCUCUUCAAUUGUUGAGGCAAUUAAUGCCUCCCUCCCUCAUUUUCAUAGAGGUAAUUUGUGCAGAAGAAGAUUUUGA